GUUUUUCUAGAGAUCCUUUAUCCUCUCCCCCAACAAGCACUUUUGGAGGAGCUUUCAUGUACCAACCUAGUGUCUUCUUAUACAGGUUUCCUGUUAUGGGAUCCACAUAUGAAAAGAUAGAGGCAUGGGUUGAAUGUCCUUGCUGUACACAGAAAAAUAUUCCCAGCCAGAGAAUACAAACAACGGCAUCACAAAUUUAGAGCAUGGAAGAGGCCACCUGACCCAAAUUUUGCUUUGCCAUUCUGCUUGUGGCAGAAGAACAAAGGUUGUUAAAUACUUAAUUACCCGGAUGGUACACAUGGCUGAUGGAUUGACUUGGAUCAACGCAGUUGUAAUUAUUUCACCACAGUGUGGCUGACUAAGAUGGAUACUUGGACUUCACUCAAUGGUUUUCAACAUUCCACCAGAAAUAAACAGAGCACAGACUAUUCUCAAUAUGUUUAUGCAUCACUAACUUAUAUUAGUUUUGGAAACUGUGAAAUUUAUGCCAAUUGUUUGUAAAACAGAGUACAGUUUUGAUUUUUUUUUUCUUGUCCCGCAGCCCAGAAUCAAUAUGUGUACAAUUUCCAUCCUCCUUACAUUACGUACUAUUCCUAAGAGCUGAGGCCAAGAAAUAAAUUGACCUAAUUCUUUUUCUCCAUCAAAAUUGUGGGUUAUCCUGUCCCUUCUACAUGGAUUUUGCAGAAAAAAAUUAAGACAUAAAUCCAGGUCUCAGUUUCUUUGGACAAAUAUACACAGAAUCAAAAGUUUGGCUAAGAGCAAAGCAGGUGAAGACACUGACACAAAAUUUGAAUUCAUAUGCUAAUAUAUUUCUACAAAACCUAGAAAUAGGUGGGCACAUGUAAGCUCCAGCUCCAGUGCAAUGCCUGACUACAGGUUGGCUCAUAGGAACAGUGCUAUACUAAUGACAAUAAAUGUCUCCCAAUCAGGAAUCAGUCAUGUAGAACCAGCUCACGGGUCCAGCAAAUGACAGAGCUAUUGUAUGUGAGCAUUUCUAAAUCCUUGUCUGCAUUUAGUUCUCUUUUAGAAGUACCCUCUAGAAGCAAUGGUAGAGAUACUGGAAAAGACAUGAAAACAUUGAUCUUUGUCCCUCCUUCCCUCCAUGUCUUCCAACCUUUGGUCUGAAAAGGAUGAUGAAAGUCCUGUUACGUUGUGGAUACCGAUGUCUUCACUGUGGCAACCAGCAGGACAGAUGUUACAGUGCUGUUUGAUGGCAGCACAAUUAAAGAAAAUAUUUGACAUGGAUGUGACCACAGAACUACAGCAAGCUGUGAAGUACAGGCUAGAGUUCAUUAAAAAGUCUUUACAUUUU
ensembl:lncRNA